rnacentral:rRNA from 1 species
UACGAAGGGGGCUAGCGUUGCUCGGAAUCACUGGGCGUAAAGCGCACGUAGGCGGCUUUUUAAGUCAGGGGUGAAAUCCUGGAGCUCAACUCCAGAACUGCCUUUGAUACUGGGAAGCUUGAGUCCGGGAGAGGUGAGUGGAACUCCGAGUGUAGAGGUGAAAUUCGUAGAUAUCUGGAGGAACACCAGUGGCGAAGGCGGCAUCCUGGCCCUGUCCUGACGCUCAGGGGCGAAAGCGUGGGGAGCAAACCGG